GCAAGUCGAACGCUCUCGAUCUUCGGAUCAAUGUGAGAGUGGCGAACGGGUGAGUAACACGUAAGAAACCUGCCCCAAAGACGAGGAUAACCAUUGGAAACGAUGGCUAAUACUGGAUAGGAUAUAAGAUCGCAUGGUCUAAUAUUUAAAGGUGCGUAUGCACUACUUUGGGAUGGUCUUGCGCAGCAUUAGCUAGUUGGUAGGGUAACGGCCUACCAAGGCGACGAUGCUUAGGUGGUCUGAGAGGAUGAGC
rnacentral:rRNA from 1 species